rnacentral:misc_RNA from 1 species
UGUUUUUUACAAUAGCUGUAAUGCGUAUGCGCAUAUAUAGUCGCCUAGUUUGAUCUGUACUACAUUACCUUACAAGGAGGCUAGAUGACAACAUUGUUCUUAACGUUUUAUGUGUAAAGUCAAAGUGCGUAGGGAAUCAACUUUGGGAAAUAAAGCUGUCUAUACGAACUCAGUGACUGAUUUAAAAGUGUUGUGCAAAAAUGGAUGUUGAAGAGUUUCGCGAAUUCGGCAAAGCAGCGAUAGACUUGAUAGCUGAUUAUAUGGAAAAUAUAAGAGCAAGAGAUGUCUUACCAUCAGUGGAACCUGGAUAUUUGGUCAACAGUCUGCCGCCAGAAGCGCCUGAAGAACCGGAACAGUGGAAAGAUGUACUCCAUGACUUCACUCAUUUUAUUUUACCAGGCAUUACUCACUGGCAUUCUCCACGAUUCCACGCGUUCUACCCCACGGGCACCUCCUUCGCGAGUCUGGUUGGAAGUAUUCUGAGUAACGGGCUUGGAGUCAUUGGAUUCAGCUGGAUGUCAAGUCCGGCGUGCACUGAGCUGGAGGUGGUGACGAUGAACUGGCUGGGCAAGCUGCUGGGGCUGCCUGAGCAGUUCCUCAACUGUUCCACCGGACCUGGCGGUGGAGUGAUCCAGGGUUCAGCAAGUGAGGCUACUCUCGUCGGACUCUUGGCCGCUAAGGAUAGAACCGUUCGCAGAAUCAAGCAAACCAACCCAGACUUAGAUGAGGGUUUCAUCAAAGCCAAGCUCAUAGCGUACUCUUCGGAUCAGAGUAAUUCGUCCGUAGAGAAAGCAGGCCUACUUGGUUCCAUGAAAAUGAGGCUGUUGAAAACAGAUGCUGAUGGCAAACUGCGCGGGGACACGUUGAAGAAAGCUUUUGAAGAAGAUCAGGAACAAGGGCUCAUACCUUGUUAUUGUGUUGCUACAUUAGGUACAACUGGAACCUGCGCUUUUGAUCCUUUAUAUGAGAUAGGACCACUAUGUAAUGAGUAUAAUGUCUGGCUCCACGUAGAUGCCGCCUAUGCUGGUGCCGCUUUCACUUGCCCAGAAUACAGACACUUGAUGAACGGCGUUGAAUAUGUUGACUCAUUUGAUGUCAACGCCCACAAAUGGAUGCUUGUCAACUUCGAUUGUUCCUGUAUGUGGGUGAAGAAUGGCUAUGAUUUGAUAAAGACGUUUGAUGUCCAAAGAAUAUAUUUAGAUGACUUAGAAAAUUCAAAUAAGAUCCCUGACUACAGGCACUGGCAGCUGCCGCUCGGGCGCAAGUUCAGAGCGUUGAAACUAUGGACUGUCUUGAGAAUUUACGGAACUGAGGGCAUUAGAAGUCACAUUAGGAAUCAAAUCGGUCUCGCGAAAUAUUUCGCACAGCUGAUGCAACCUGAUGACCGAUUUGUGAUUGAACCAGAACCUGCAAUGGGAUUGGUGUGUUUUAGAUUAACAGAAGGAGACAAGGUAACGAAGAAGCUGUUGGAUAACCUGACUGAAAAGAAAAAGGUCUUCAUGGUGGCCGGUUCGUAUCACAACAGAUACAUGAUUCGAUUCGUGAUAUGUUCUCGCAAUACAAAGAAAGAGGACGUAGACUAUAGUUGGAACAAAAUUAAGGAAGAGGUCGAUUGUCUUUGCCCAGUCAAUAUACAUACUAAGAAAUAUAAGGUUCCUGUGAUGAAAAACAUCGACGCUGUGAAGUCGAAUGAAAAAUCUAAGUAACUGUGACUGUGACUGUUUGGGAACAUUGGACACAUCGCGGUCUACACGGUAGAUGGGAGAAUGGCAGAAAAUAUUACUACAUAUCUGUAGGUAGGUGUUACCUGUAUCUUAUUCACAAGGAUCUUACUACGCGAACAUAAUGUCUAAAAAAGUUAAAACAAUUAAGUAUCAUUUCCUAGGUAUAAAGAGUAAGUAGUUUAAAACUAUGUAAACUAAUUAAAACAUAGCGGGAACUACAUGAGUUGCGGUUACUGCUUGCGUAGUUAUAAAUACGUAAAAGACAAUCAAGGGACCUUCCAGGUUAUUACAUUAUAUUUUUGAAUAAUUAUUUAGGUACCCGAGUAAUGAGAAAAUAGAUAAUUAUCACGCUAAAUCUGUACAACGCCAUCUAUAUUGUUUUUAGGGAACUUAGCCUGGAAAGUCCUUCAUUGUCAUUAGUGGGAUAGGUGGAAUAGGGGCUUUAACGAAGAUAAUAAUGGGUCACCUUUCGAUUCCUUUAACUCUUAGUUUUGUCUUAGUUUACAAUUAUUUAAAUAAAAACAUUUAUACGAUAA